AGUCACCCUCAUUUCUCUCUCUCGUCGUCGCUCGUCAAUUGCUCUCGUCAUCGCGCUCUCCUCGCUGCUGCACUCAUCUCGCUCUCUCUCCAUGGCUGCUCUCAUUUCAGUCUCCAUUAUUGCUAUCACAAGCUCUUCUUCUUCAUAGGCAUCAUACAGUCGAUUCCUCCAUUUUAAACCACAGUCGAUUUCUCUUACCAGUAUGGCACGGCUUCCACUAACUAGAAGAAAGACUAUUCGAAGGAAGAGACUUAUUUUAUAUUUGGAGCAGUUAAAAAUGGUUGGGUCAGUUCAUUGGUUUUUUCAAAUGAUUGUGUUGUUAGGAUUAAGGGUAGCAUUAAGGCCUAGGUAUUCCAUUUUUAAGAUGGAAAGAAUUAAUUAUGUUGAUAGGUUAGUUAAUCAAAGUGAUGGCAUUUGUGUUAAGAAUCUUAGAAUGAACAUGGGAGCAUUUCAUAAAUUAUGCUAUACACUUGAAUCACGAGGAUACAUACGUGAUAGUAAGCAUAUUAAUGUUGUUGAACAAGUUGCCGUUAUUCUAUACAUAUUAGCGCACCAUAAGAAAAUGAGUGUUAUAAGCACCUCUUUUCAAAGGUCGACUGAAUCGAUUAGUCGACACUUUCAUAUGGUUCUUCUCGGGGUCUUAAGGUUACAAGAAUUUAAGCAUCCUGAACCGAUUCCAAAUGACUCAACCGACGGAAAUUGGAAGUACUUUAAGAAUUGCCUAGGGGCUCUAGAUGGGACACAUAUAAGAAUGAAUGUAGCUGCUGAAGACAAGGCUAGGUAUCGAAACAGGAAGGGUGAAAGUACUACUAAUGUCCUUGCCGCGGUUACACCAGAUUUAUAGUUCUCUUAUGUAUUGACUGGUUGGGAAGGGUCCGCGGCUGAUGGGAGAGUUUUAAAAGAUGCUUUGUCAAGAAAAAAUGGACUCAAAGUCCCAAAGGGUACUUACUAUUUAGUAGACGCGGGUUAUACUAAUGGAGAAGGAUUCUUGGCACCUUAUAGAGGACAAAAGUACCACUUGAAUGAUUGGAACGAUGAACAUCAACCUACUUGUGCUAAAGAGUAUUUCAACAUGAGACACUCGACGGCUAGAAAUGUAGUUGAGCGUUCUUUCGGCGUCUUAAAGAAAAGAUGGGCAAUCUUGAGAAGUCCUUCAUUCUACCCUCCGAAAAUUCAAAGUCGAAUAAUUCUUGCUUGUUGUGUUUUACAUAAUUAUAUUAGAAAUGAAAUGACUUAUGACCCAUGUGAAAUCGACUUUGAAAGAGAAGGGAGGACAAAUAUGGAGCAUGACGGGAUAGAUGACAAUAUCACAAACAUUGGCACAACUCCCGAAUGGACAUCAUUUAGGGAUAAUUUAGCUGAAACAAUAUAUAGUGAAUGGAGGGGUUCUUCGAGGCAUUAAUUUUUGGUUAGUUAUGGUUCUGAAAAUGAUUUCUUAUUAUAUGCAGUAGUCACAGAUUAUUACCUGGUUUGAUUUCGUUUAUAAUUGAACUUAUUGGAAUCUACUGUUAGUGUUGUGAUUGAUAGUAUUUAUCUGAAAUGUAAAGUUGUGAACUCUGUUUGCUCUUUUACACAGGUUAUAAUAAGAAAUGGAGCCAACUGAAUCAGUUGUCGAAAGAGGUGCAGGAAGGAAUAAAAGGAAAUGGACAGAUUUUGAAGAUGAAAAAUUAGUUGAAUCGCUGAUUGAGCUUGUGAAUUCUGGAAAUUUUAAAGCUGACAAUGGGUUUAAACCUGGAUAUUUGACCUUUCUUGACACUUCAUUGCAAACAAAACUUACCGAAGCAGAUUUGAAGGGAAAGCCUCACAUAGAAUCCCGGAUUAAGACACUAAAAAAUAAUUUUACUGCAGUUUAUGAUCUCUGAUAUGGUGCUAACAGUUCAGGAUUUGGAUGGAACUCAGAAAACCAUGUUGUUACAGCUCCAAGGGACGUGUGGCUUCAAUAUCUUAAGGUUCACCCAGGAGCAUCUAAAUGGCAGACUACAGCUAUGCCAUGGUUCACAGAACUCUGUACUAUCUUUGGAAAAGAUAGAACAACCGGAAAUCUAGCAGAAAAUCUUGCUGAUGUUGUGGAAGAACUUAAUACUGAGGCUGCAGAUGAACUAUCAGUCCAGGAAGCUCAACCAGUCACACAUUCUGACGAGUCGACAAGUAUGAAGAAAAGAAAAAGAGGAAAUGCAGAUGCAUUGUUAUAGGAUGUCUAUGCUGCUUCAGACAGGCUCACAAAUCAGUUUGAGGCUUCCACUAAACUCCUCAUCGCAGCUGAAGAAGAUAUGCGGGAGAAAAAGAAACAACUCAAUCAAGAACUUUCAAAGAUUCCAGAACUCGAAGUGCUCCAGAAACUUCAAGUUGCAAAGAGAAUAGCCAGUGAUGAAGACUUGAUGAUACUAUUUUUUGAAGCACCAGCCGCAGAAAAAACUGUUUUGGUGAAUGCUAUUCUAAACAAGGAGAUUUGAGACCAUAUUUUGUUUAUGUCAUUCCUGCACUUUUUAUUAACAUUUGACACAUUUCACCAACUGUAUUUGGUAACUAUUUGGUAACUCCAUAAAGCCAGUGUUUAAUGCUUUGAUAACAGUAGAAAGUUGUUAUCUUUCAACUAAAUAUUUUGGAUUUCUUUUUGUAUUAUUUUGGUGAUAUUAUUUCAUUUAUAAUUUAAUUUGCUAUUUCACA